UCCAGAGGUGGCAAGCGUUGUUCGGAAUUACUGGGCGUAAAGGGCGCGUAGGCGGUCUUUUAAGUCUUGUGUGAAAUCCCUCGGCUCAACUGAGGAACUGCACGGGAUACUGGAAGACUUGAGUUCGGGAGAGGGAAGCGGAAUUCCGGGUGUAGCGGUGAAAUGCGUAGAUAUCCGGAGGAACACCGGUGGCGAAGGCGGCUUCCUGGACCGAUUACUGACGCUGAGGCGCGAAAGCUAGGGGAGCAAACGGG
rnacentral:rRNA from 1 species